UUAAUACAUAUACAAAAAUUUUAAAUAAAUAAAAAAUAAAAGUAAAGCCUGUGCUAUAUUUCUGGAGAGGAAAAAUCAAUGUGCCCACUACUAUUCACACAGGUACCUCUAGCAUUUUUGCGUGUAUCCAAUAGGUCAUCCCAAGCCCUGCCAAGCCUUCAAAUUCCUCUAUCACCAGCCUCACUCUACCUCUUUGGCCCUAACCAAGUUUCUUGAAGCUCCUUAACACCUGUCAUGGAACCUUCCGUCUUGCUUUACUAACCGCUUCAGUACUCUCCCCCACCUACUUUGCCUUUGUUCAAGAUUUAAAGCUUCAUUAUCUUCUCUUCUAGGCCUUCUCAAGCUCUCUAAGGCUCUUCCCUCUGUGCCCCCGUGCAACCCAGGCAUAGCCACUAUUAUUUUAAUUAUUUUUAUGCACACAAUUUUCUUUUCUGUUAGAUUAGGGUUUCCAAGAGAUCAGAUACCCCUGCAUUGUAUUUACUUCUGUAUUCAGAGCCAAUAAGCUCUGCUGAAAACAGAGUGGAUGGUCAAGCAGUCUCUGUAAGAUGAAUGAAUGAACAAUGCCAAGCCCUCCCACAGACCGGACACGUGGUUCUCCCUACUGGUCCUCCCCUCCGUGUACUAUGAGAGCGAGCUUUCCGUGUGCUUGCAGAGCGCGGGUGGGCACACAAGACCACGUUUUGCCCUCGCUGUAAUACUACCGAUGAUUCUAUCGCUAGCGCCCUUUUACUGAAGAGGAAACUGGGACUUAGGAGACACCUGGUGACCUUCUCAAAGUCACACCGCUAGGCAGAAGGACUGUGCCGUGGAAACACCGGGGAAGAAACGUGAAACAAAUGCGCGCUGCCUGGUGAGAGCCCCAGGACUUAACAAAAGCAAUCCAAAGCAAGGAUAUCACUGGAGAAGAAAACAGCCCAAGUUGUUCCCAUGUAAAACAAGGGAGGCAGGGCUGUCCACUCUGAUACCCGGAAUUUCAUCAGGAAGAUGUCCAAAGGAAGAGUUUCUGCCGCCUCCCCCGGGAGGGCCCUCCACGCGGACACGUGUUCUUUAGCGAACCUGCAUUUGGCGUGUUGCACUCUGAGCACAGCGCAGAGGCGACUUUCGCCCUCUUGCUUUCUGUUUCCCUUAUAACCGGCGAUUUGGUUCGGUGCCAUGAUUCCAAAGGGUCAUGCGUUUCUAUUUAAUAAAACAGAUGAGUAGCAUUUUCUACCCCUAAAUCAAAAAUCUCUCUCUUCCUACAACUUCAAAGAAAAGCCCUGGUAAUAUCCAAAACGGUUGCGAGGUUCUUUUUUUAAUGCCUAGAAAUUCACAUGACAAAGGAAAUAGGAAAAAGCCUUCCCCACCUAGCCCAUGUGUUUGUAAGUUUACAAUGCCAUCAUUGUUUAUGUUGGGCUCUAUUCAUUUUUGUCUGCAGACUUCCUCUGUACAGUUUAACUACUUUCUCAUGCUAAGCUCUCUGCAAAUUGUCACAAUGGUUAAUGGGAAAUUCUGUACCAAAUACUAUUUAAUUUUAAGGCAUUUCUGCCGGCUAAUUUAUGACCAACUGCAAAUUGCAUUCUGCCAGGGCAAAAAACAAUUUGUUUGUUUCAGGUUGAAAAUAGUUUUUCAAAUAAAUUCUGAUGGUACACUUAUCAAGCCCUCUUAUCUUUCAUUAAACUAAUGCUUUCAAGCAUAAUUAAGAAGGAGCUGGAAAACUAAGUAUAAUGUAAUGCUCUGAUAUUAAAGAAGACAUAUCAAAAUAAAUUUGCAAUUGUAUCAUCACAUCAAUCUCUACUAUGACUGCAAUAGUAUUAUAACCAUAAUUAAUUAGCUAUGGUACAAAUUACCAAUAAAUCUUUAGAAAUUAAAUGCCUAAUUUUUCAAAACCAUAUGUCUUCAUAAAUUGAUUAUUUAGAAUUUAGAGGCUUUUUAAUUAGGAAGAAAUUUAUGCAAUGCUGUAUGUAAUAAUUAGGAAUCAGCUUUUCUGCAAUACUUUUGAACAUCAGCAAAAAAUUAAAUCUUAAGAAAAUAGUCUGGGUUAAUUAUAGUAUUUCACUGUCAAAAAUCAACAUAUAGGUAAAAUUUAGAGGUUAAUGUGGCUUUCCAUUUCUUUAACUUCCACCUAGUCUUACGUUCUCAGUGCUGGAAUCAUUAACCGAGCCCAAAAAUCAAUGAGAGGGGGGAAAUCUCCCCAGUGAUUUAUGCCUCAAAGAAAGUUUUCAUUUUAUCCAAUAGUUUCAGCAAACCUCAUCAAUCCAGGUUAAAUAUUUAACACUCCUUUUUUUAUAUUCCCUAAGGUUAAAGCAGGAUAUUUCUGAGCCUAGCCAUCAUUUUGGGUUUUCGCUGUAUCUCCCCAUCCCAUUUUGUCAUCUGGAGGUCUUCCGGCAAAACUAGUGAGGCUCCUGAGCGCGUGACUAAGGAGUGACAAUCGCUAACAGAUGCAUUUGUACCCGGGCAGAACUGGCCUCUAAUUGUUGCUUGUAGGAGAAAAGGCAAAGAGACUGUAGCACCGCCGUUCUCUGUUGCUGGCAGAUAACAACCUCGAGAUGAAGCCACAUUUGCAGGGGAAAAAUUGCUUACGCCCACAGAAUGAAAUUUCAGGCUUUGACAGCUGCUAGGUAAGUAAAUGAGAAUCAUUUUAUUCUGGGUAAGUGCAACACAGCACAUCUUGAACAAUGAGGAGUUGAUGGCCCGAGGGCGGUGACACCCAGGUUGUCCGCCUUCAGAAGAGUCUCCUGGGAGAAGAACUAGGGAACAAGUGGCCAAACAAUUGUCCCUGUGGCCCAGCACGGCCCCUCACAAUCUUAAGUGGGAGGCGCGAGUCCCUUCAAAGGAGAAAAUGGCUUCAAUUUUCCAAUUCACAAUUCGACAGAUAAACACCGCACAUGGACUCUGAGAAAGCCCUCUUGGAAAGCCUGAGGCCUCUGCCAGAAUUCAGGAGCCCUUCAUCUCCUGCCUGGAUGCUUUUAACAGCCUCCCAAUUGGUUUUCUGACUUCGGUCUCCACCCUCAGCCAGAAAAAAAGGGGCUUCUAAAAGGCUACGACUCCCCUGCUUAAAAUAUUUCUAGGGCUCCGACUUGCCAUUAGAAGGCUGACUGACAAGGUCUUCCCACACUGGCCCGUAUUAUUUUCCCAAACUCGCUUCUCACCUUGACCCUUGGCCUCCAAGCCUUUCACAGGCUGUUCCCUUUUCAGACCUUCUCUUACUUGUUCUGCAGACAUUAGCAGAACUGCUCCUUUCCCCAGAAAGCUUUUCUGAUGCUACCAGCUGGUUAGGUCCCUUCCCUCUGUGCUCCCACAGCCCCCAUUGUGCCUCUGGGACAGUGUUCUCAGAUUGAACUGCCUCUUUAUUUAUUUUGUCUCUGGUUUCUUCCUUCCUUUCCUUUCCUUCCUUCCUUCCUUCCUUCCUUCCUUCCUUCCUUCCUUCCUUCCUUCCUUCCUUCAAUGUUUAUUUUUGAGUGAGAGAGAGCAAGCAAAAAGAGAGAAAGAGAGAGAGACAGAGAGAGAGAGAGAGAGACAGAAUCCGAUGCAGGCUCCAGCUGUCAGCAUAGAGCCUGACACGGGGCUUGAACUCAUGGACCGUGAGAUCAUGAGCUGAGCAGAAGCAGGACUCUUAGCUGACUGAGCCACCCAGGCGCCCCAAGUCUCUGUUUUUUUUCAAGAUUGUAAAGAAUAGAAACUUGACUCAAAUCAGCUUAAGCUAAGAAGGAAACUUCUUGGAUACUAGGUUAGCUCACAAAAUUGAGGGAAAUGCUGGCCAACAAGUUUGAGGAAAGCCGAAACUGGGAACCCUCCCAGAUCCCCAGAUGCUGCCUUAAGGACCUGCCCUUGGUAUGUCAGUCUGUUUCUGCCUCCUGCCUCCAUCUAUCUCAGGCUCUCUCCCUUUUCGUCUGUGAAUGAUGUGCUAGCUCUCACCAGAAAAGUGGAAUUGUGUCUACCAGGUAGGCCUAGGCUUACAUUUUCCUCAGUUCGAACAUUAAAGGUCUCACAGAAGAACUCUGAUUGCUCCUUCGUGGGUCACAUGCUUGCCCUAGAGUGGGGACUAUGACUCUUGUUCAGGAGAAGAUAAGAAGAUGGCCAUCCCAUUGAGGCAUUUCAAGCUCUUGGGUAGAGAGAACAUGGAAGAGGACAGAAGAGAAGAGUGAGAGCCAGUAUAUGGAUCACCUACUACUGGGAAACCAACGGCUACAAAAUCUCAAUGGUAAAAUAUAAUAAGUAUUUAUUUUUUAUGCAUUUGCAGGUUGGCCAGAGGUUGACUGAUACAGACCAGGGAGCUCCGCUUUAAGUGGCAGAUCUGGCUGAAAAGUUCUUUGGUGGGUUAAACUCAGGCAUAUUCUAUAAAUAUGCCUUAUUCUAGUGACCAGGCUGAACGCGAAGCUCUCCUUAUGGCAGUCGCAGAGGUGCAAGAGAGGAAGUGGAAGGCCAUGAUGCAUCUUAAGGACCAGACUCAGAAGUGGCACAUUGAAAUCUACACCAUUCUACUGGGUAAAGCAAGUUACGUCCCUGAGCAUAAAGUCAAAGAGUACUGUACCACUAGUGGGGAGGACCAAAGCAGGCAAAGGGCAAAGGGCAUGGAUACAGAAAGGGGUGAAGAUAAGGGACCGAUGAUUCCAAUUACUAGAGGAAUGACUUUUCGAAGGAAGGAUGAUAUAAUUUCCACAAGAAGGAACAGGUGCUAAGCAAAUAAAACAAUAAUGCUCAUUAUUUUCUCCCUGGUUACGCUAUAACUUUUGUGCACACAGAAAAUGUGGUUAUAUACCUGUUUCUGUAGGCCCCAUCUCACACGGUGCUUGGCACACAGAUAGCAGUGAGAAAUUGUACGUUGAAUUUAACGUAAGCAAUCAAUGGGUUAUAGAGGACAGGCACCUCAGUCAUCUCCUCUAAGGACUUGAAAUCUCCUUGAGGGGGUUAAAGUUCAGAUAAACCGUUGGCACAAAACAGAAAGAAAUAUAUGCUCCUUUAGUUCAGCCAAUAUGCUAUGGGCAUGAUGGAGAGGGAGAGAUGAUUUCCAACUAGGUAAGCUCAGGAAGUGGCCUCGGAACGGGUGGGAUUUAAGCAGAACUUUAAAGGGAUGGAAGGGACUCUCAGCACGUACUACAUGCCAGCCAUUCAACUAAGUGGAGGCCGUGAUCUUAUUCCCCUUCGUCGAGAGGGAGGAGUAUUCUCAUGACUUUCCACAUGGGCUCUUUUAAGUCGAAUGUCUACAGCUAUCCAGCUAGAAGGUGACAAAGCCUGAUUUGGACACAGAAAUCUAGUCUGUCGUCUUCUCAUUGUCUGUGUCUUGCUCGGUGACUGACAGGACAGGUGUUCCGUAAACGUGACUUGAACAAGUAAGCGAAUGUCGAGAGCUCAGUUCUCUUUUUUCAAACCUUUGGCAAGUGGAGAAGUCAGGAAAAAGAGCUGAGACAAAGGCAAUAGUCUGGGUCCCCUGGAAGAACAGAGAAGGCACAACUCAGAAAUAACCAAUGGAUGUGUGUGACUAGAGUGUCACGUUUAUGGAACACAUGGCAAGCCACAGGCUAGCAAGAUAAACUGGGGACAAGCAUGGAGUGGAGGGUGUAUGUGUCAUUCUGUCUGCAAGUACCUGUUAUUAGGGCCAUGGGUACAACCCAACAUACGACUCACAGGUAACAGUUGAUGAUGCAUUAGGGCCAGACUGUAGAUGCUAUGCAGCAUGUAACGAUUUGGAGCCAGUGCACCGCCCCCCCCCCCCCCCCCCAAUUUCUUACCAUCAGCAUGUUGACGCAGGAAAGGAGUGCACUUAAUUGGGAAAACAAGCUAUUUCUUAAUCCCUGUAAGCUUUCCGAAUGGGCAGAGUCUGGCUAGCCAUUCUUCUACCCUUGCAAGCAGAAAGAAGGCUGGACUUCCUGGGGAACGGAAAGUACGCAGACUGCUGAGAUAAACCGCGAUUCACUGCUGCUGAAUGUAUCACACAUCAGCCCACCUCCUGCCACUGCAACUCCGCACAGAGAACAGAACAGUCUCGCAGAGAAAGGAACAGUCUCAGGAAGAACCCAUUCAGCACCCGACUAAAAAAUGAUCUCAUAGGGGCGCCUGGGUGGCUCAUUCGGUUGAGCGUCUGACUUCGGCUCAGGUCAUGAUCUCACGGUCUGUGAGUUCGAGCCCCGCGUCGGGCUCCGUGCUGACAGCUCAGAGCCUGGAGCCUGUUUCAGAUUCUGUGUCUACCUCUCUCUCUCUGCCCCUCCCCUGUUCAUGCUCUGUCUCUCUCUGUCUCAAAAAUAAAUAAACGUUAAAAAAAAAAUUAAAAAAAAAAAUGAUCUCAUAGGCAUGUGUGGUCUAAUAUGGUAGCCACUACCUACAUUAUGGCUACUUAAAUUUAUAUUAAAUUCACUUAAAUAUUUAGUUACUCAUCUAGGAGCUACUAUAUUGGAUAGCAUAGAUACAGAGCUGUCUAUACCACAAACAUUCUAUUGGAAAGCCCUGUGAUAUACUAAUGGCGGCCAUCCUCUUUAGCACUGCAAGCCCCCUCGUUCUGUUAAGUUAACGUCCGGGAAAAUUAUUGGCAGAUAGCAGAAGCUGUCAACACAGGGGCUUGCCAAAUCUAGUAAGGAAGCCACCUGUUCAUUUCCAAGAUUUAGAAAGAGGCCUGCCCAUCGAGGAUCCAUGCUCUUUUUAUGCUGAUGACCUACAGGCCAUCCUGUGUUGUAGGCUAGAAGAGAGAUGUCACAUGAUGAAGUGGAAAAUGCCCUGGAAUGGGAUUCCGGGGACAUGGGCUCUCACUUUGGUUCCAUGACCAGUUUUGUGCCUUGUCCUCAUAGCCUCUCUGAGCCUCAGUUUCUGGAUCUAUAAAAUGGAGACAACCCAACGAAUCUGGCUGGUUAAGUAAAUAUAAAGGUAGAACACCCUAACCAAACACUAGAAAUUAUACUUGCACAAUGCUGCACUGGUAGCAUGCCUUCUGGAAUUGUGGCUCUAAGACUCUAGGGUGGACACGGGGCCUUCUGGCCUAGAUACUCUCACUCUGAUUCUUCUAUGAGGAUUUCUGGGACGUCUCCUGUGGGCUACUGUCUCUUUGAGGAUGUCAGCAGAUGUCAUCUGUCAUCUGUCAUCUUGAGUCAAUUAAGAAAGAUGGAUGUGACCUUCCCUCGUAUUCAACAGAAAACUUCACAGGUCCUUGUGGAUCACCCAGGGCUCAUCAGGACAAUUGCCACAUGUCACACCUAUGGAUGAGGCUAUGUAGUUUACGUACCUGGAAAGGGCAACUUCAACCAAGAGGCUCCUGAAGGAGAACCUGGUGAGUUGUCCUAAAUAUUACCAACUUCAAAAUGUCUGAAACAUACCUCAAAAUGAACAACUUAGAAACAUCAGGGGUCAUUGCAUAUUUAUUGCCAGGUAAACUGAUUAUUUUUAGAGGUGAAAAGUCCUAAUCUUUAAGUCUAGGAAUGGACCAUCGAGUCUUGCUUACCUGUUCCAUGAGAAUGAAAGACCUUCUUUGUCUUCAUCCACUUUAUGAUUUGGGAUCCUACUUUUUGGAUCCAAAGAAAUUACCAGUUCACUACUGUGUGCGAAAGGAAGAGAUGCUGCUAAUAUUCCUCCGUCGAAUAGAGUUACUUUGUGCCUACUUAACUUGCUUGUCUUCGAGUUGCUCCAACAAGCAUGAUCAUGGACCACUGAAAGGUCCGCCAUGUUGCUGGUGGGGGUGGUGGGGGUGGGGGUGGGGCGGAUACAGCUAUACUCUGGGUUUUGAAUGUUCCUUUAGAAUAGAGAGGAUAUUCACCACAGGGCUGUGGUCCUCAAACUUUAGCAUGAUCAGAAUCACUUGAAGCUUGAAUUGCCUGGCCCCACUCAAAGUUGCUGAU